GUGAGAGCCCAGAACGCCUAGAAUUUACCUCAGUCCCUGGCUGAGGGACAGGAAGCUUUGAAGUGACAGAUGAAGCUAGGGACCCAGAUCCUGGGAUAGGGCAGGCCCAGCAAGGGCCUGAGGGACCCACUGUCUUCCGUCUGGCCAACAAAUUUAGGACAAGCCUCCCUCCCCAUGCUGCAGUGGAGGAAACGGAAGCUUUAGGAAGAGAAGUGCCUUCUACAAGCUCCACGGCUGGAAAAUGGGCAAAGUCAGGACUCAAACCCUGGUGACUCCAGGGCCCCAGGCCUGGGAAAAAGGAACCCACUCAGCACAAGAAGGCAGCUUCUACUUCCGGUGAUUUCAUCGCUGACCAAUCAGCACUCCCGGCUCACUGGCUUCCCCCCACCCACCAAGUUGUCCUUAAAAACCCUGCUCCCCAAAUGCUCAGGGAGGCUAAUUUAAGUAGUAAUAAAAAUCCAAUCUCCUGCACAGCCGGCUGUGCGUGAAUUACUCUCUAUUGCAAUUCCCCUGUCUUGCUAAAUCUGCUCUGUCUAGGCAGCAGGCAAGGUGAGCCCCUUGGGGGGUUACGGUAGCUGUUUUCCUCUCUGGUAGCGUUUCCCACUUCUAGGCUUGGACUGCAGAUCUCGCUUGACUCAGGCUGAGAGGCUGUGCUGAAGGAAAGAGAAGCCAAAAAAGCUUUUGGUGGCUUUCUUACAAUGCCCACGUGAUGGGUGAAAACUAAAGGAACUCCCAAUGUGCGGCUGGUGUUCCUCGCAGAGCACUAUUUGAGUUUUGGGUCUGCGUGGAGGCUGAGUGGCUGGG
rnacentral:lncRNA from 1 species